rnacentral:rRNA from 1 species
AUGACGUCCAGCCACCGCCGCCUCCGCCCCCGCCCGACGUCGGCGCCGCCGCUGGAGGACGACGACCUGCUCGACGAGGUCCUCCUCCGCCUCUCCCCGGAUCCGUCCUCCCUCCCGCGCGCCUCGGCCGUCUGCACCCGCUGGCGCCGCCUCGUCUCCGACCCCGGCUUCGUCAGCCGCUUCCGCCUCCGCCACCGCCGCAGCCCUCCCAUCCUCGGCUGCUUCAUCAGGGACAAGCAGAGCCCGAUCGUCUCCUUCGUGCCCACCAUGGAGGCCCCCAAUCGCGUCCCCGCCGAGCGCUUCUCCUUGCAGCUCGCCGGCCGCGGCCCCAUCACUUUCCUCGACUGCCGCCACGGCCUCCUGCUCAUGUUCCUCCCGUGUUGGAUCAAGGUCCUGGUGUGGGACCCCGUCACCGGAGACCAGCACCGCCUCGACAUUCCCCCGGGGUUCGACACGAAGCAGGGGAUCGGCGGGGCGGUGCUUCGCGCCGCCGGGGCCAUCAGCCACUUCCAGGUGGUCUUGUUGGGCAGAGACAAACAAGUGAUCACCGCCUGCGUUUACUCGUCCGAGGCGGGCGUAUGGGGCGGUCUCAUCUCGACUCCGCUUCCAAAUGAGGUGCCAGUGGACUUCGAUUUUAGGGGGGUGCCUGUGCUGAUUGGGGAUUCCCUUCACUGUUUGAUUACGGGUAGCUGUUCUGGAAUCCUUGAGUUUGAUUUGAAUAUGGGGAUCCUAACCGUGAUACCAGGGCCUGUGGAUAUUUUGGAUGCGGGCCGUUGCCAAUCCACGGUUAUGCGGGCAGAGGAUGGCGGGCUUGGUGUUCUAUUCAAGUCAGACUGCAAUGUCCAAUUAUGGAGGAGGAAGAUUGAUUGUGAUGGCGAGGCCUCAUGGGUUCUGGGGAGAACUUUUGAGCUAGACACGCUGCUUUCCCUGAAUUCAGAGGACAAAAGGUACACGGUGAUGCUAGGCUUGGCCGAGUACAAUAAUACGGUGGUGGUGCAGACAGUUGCCGGCCACUUCAUGGUCCAGCUCGAGUCAUUGCAGUUCAAGAAGAUGUCCGAAACCAUCAGUUCGCAUUUCCAUCAACCAUUAGAAAGUGUCUAUACUGGAGAAACAAGCAUUGGUGGUGGAGGACAUAAUGGAGCUGAACUUUUGCACAACCCUUAA